rnacentral:rRNA from 1 species
UACGUAGGCAGCAAGCGUUGUUCGGAGUUACUGGGCGUAAAGGGCGCGUAGGCGGCUUCGCAAGUCCGGGGUGAAAGCCCCCAGCCCAACUGGGGAAGUGCCUCGGAUACUGGUUGUCUUGAGGAGGGUAGGGGCAUCUGGAACUAGCGGUGGAGCGGUGAAAUGCGUUGAUAUCGCUAGGAACUCCGGUGGCGAAGGCGAGGUGCUGGACCCUUUCUGACGCUGAGGCGCGAAAGCCAGGGGAGCGAACGGG